rnacentral:sRNA from 1 species
GCCAGGUGGGCGCCUUGGCGCACACCUGUAAUCCCAGCAGCUUGGGAGGCUGAGACAGGAGGAUCGCAAGUUCAAAGCCAGCCUCUGGUCACUAAGCAACUCAGUGAGACCCUGUUUCUA